CUAUCACCCACACCCACCCAGUUGGGAGGGGCGGCCUUUCCCUGUGUCCACACAUAUGCCUUGAGUUGCUCUUCGGUGAACAUCACUUUUCCUUUCAUGUUUUUUCCACACACUAUUAUCUGUAUGAAAUGAAGACCAAGAAAGGAUGGGAAGAAGGAGAAGAAAAAUUUUGGUUUAUCUCAGAAACUAUACCCCUAAAUGAGAGUCCUGGUUGCAGGUGCAACUGAAGGACUAUGGCUAUGGUAGCUGCCUAGGAAGACUGGCCGUCGUAUUCAUGCUUGUGCAGCCCUUGGACUUUUAGAUCUACCAGCAUCCUUCACUGAGGCGGGAAGCAGAGUCAAGCUGUUGCCAUGAAGCUUGUUUCAAGAGCUCAGAAAUCCUCCAGGGAUCCUUUACUACUGCUUUUCAAAGAGGCCUUUUUUUUUCUCUUCUGCUUUUCCUGCAAAGAGGGUUAUAUCCAGUACUCAAGGACAUGGCUAAGGCUGAAUAUAUGCUGUGGAAACAGAAAUAUGUGUGAAGGGAUGUAUGAAACCACAGAAUAAAUGGAAUCCACUUUCUUGAAGUAGCUACAAUUCUACCUGAGGGUAAGUAAUUAAGUAUUUU
rnacentral:lncRNA from 1 species